rnacentral:rRNA from 1 species
GAUUUCUGGCUUGAAACACUUAGCCGGCCACGGUUUCGUGUGUUAGUGCUUGGUGUUCUGGCCAUCCUUCCAAUUGCUAUUCAUCUUUCUUCAUUGAUGGGUGAGUGGUAUUGGAUCUUUUACUUUGAAAAAAUUAGAGUGUUUCAAGCAGGCUUAAUGCUAUGAAUACAUUAGCAUGGAAUAAUAAUUUAGGACUUCGGUUCUAUUUUGUUGGUUUCUAGGACUGAAGUAAUGAUUGAUAGGGAUAGUUGGGGGUGCUAGUAUUCAGCGGCCAGAGGUGAAAUUCUCGGAUUCGCUGAAGACUAACUUAUGCGAAAGCAUU